rnacentral:lncRNA from 1 species
CAAAAAAAUUGUCCAAUAUAGAAAAUUAAGAGAAAAUUUAUCAUUUUGUAUUUAUUAUACCUUUGUUAUUAAAUACUCCAGUUCUUUUACAAUCAUUUAGAUGAGUUAUGAUAAAUAAGGGUAAUCUUCAUUAUUGUUGAAUUAUUGUACAAAGUCUUUAGACUUUACGUAAAAGAUGUAAUAAUUGUAGAUUUGUAGGUUUGUAGGAAAUUAAAGGCUAGUUAGUAGCCUAGCCUCCUUUUUUUACUUUUUUGUUAGUUUUUGUUAGCUUUUAGCAAAACGUGUAAAAAUUGAUUGUAAAUUUUGUUCUAUAAAUAAAGGAAGCCGAAGGCAUUGCAAAGGCAAGCGUUCAUGCGUUGAAGCAAACAUUCUCUCUAUUCCACAACAAAUAUUUUACUCAGUUAAUUAAAUAGACAUAUUUCAAUGGAAAAAGUUAUGGAGGAACAAACUUCAGAAAUAUCAAAACUACCCGAACAGGUAUAUUUAUUUAUGAUUAUGAAUAGCUAAAUUCAUAAUUCCCAACAAUCAUGAUAUGAUAAAAUAAAUUCAUAUUAGUUACUUUAUAGUAGAAUUAUUCGAAGAAUAAAAUGUUAAGAAGUUUAUUA